rnacentral:rRNA from 1 species
AUUGAACGCUGGCGGAAUGCUUUACACAUGCAAGUCGAACGGCAGCACGGACUUCGGUCUGGUGGCGAGUGGCGAACGGGUGAGUAAUGUAUCGGAACGUGCCCGGUCGUGGGGGAUAACGUAGUGAAAAUUACGCUAAUACCGCAUACGAUCUAUGGAUGAAAGCGGGGGAUCGCAAGACCUCGCGCGAUUGGAGCGGCCGAUAUCAGAUUAGGUAGUUGGUGGGGUAAAGGCCCACCAAGCCAACGUUCUGUAGCUGGUCUGAGAGGACGACCAGCCACACUGGAACUGAGACACGGUCCAGACUCCUACGGGAGGCAGCAGUGGGGAAUUUUGGACAAUGGGCGAAAGCCUGAUCCAGCCAUUCCGCGUGCAGGAUGAAGGCCCUCGGGUUGUAAACUGCUUUUGUACAGAACGAAAAGGUUUCUACUAAUACUAGGAGCUCAUGACGGUACUGUAAGAAUAAGCACCGGCUAACUACGUGCCAGCAGCCGCGGUAA